rnacentral:misc_RNA from 1 species
GAAAUGCGAUAAGUAGUGUGAAUUGCAGAAUUCAGUGAAUCAUCGAAUCUUUGAACGCACAUUGCGCCCCUUGGUAUUCCAUGGGGCAUGCCUGUUCGAGCGUCAUUUGUACCCUCAAGCUCUGCUUGGUGUUGGGUGUUUGUCCCCGUCUCCGCGCGUGGACUCGCCCCAAAGUGAUUGGCAGCCGGCGUACUGGUCCCGGAGCGCAGCACAUAUCGCGCAAACGAGUGCCUUGGUACGGCGGCGUCCAUAAGCCCCUCUCUCACGCUCUUGACCUCGGAUCAGGUAGGGAUACCCGCUGAACUUAAGC